UACGUAGGGUGCGAGCGUUAAUCGGAAUUACUGGGCGUAAAGCGUGCGCAGGCGGUUCUCCAAGUCCGUUGUGAAAGCCCCGGGCUCAACCUGGGAAUGGCAGUGGAAACUAGGGGACUGGAAUCUGGCAGAGGGGGGUGGAAUGCGUAGAGAUGUGGAGGAACACCAGUGGCGAAGGCGGCUUUCUGGUCUGUAACUGACGCUGAGGCGCGAAAGCGUGGGGAGCAAACAGG
rnacentral:rRNA from 1 species